rnacentral:lncRNA from 1 species
AUGAAUGAUUUUCUUUAGUUGUUGAUCCCAACGUUGCUUUAUGAUUUCUGUAUAAGGCUUGUAUAGUCUUUUGUUGUAGUUAAACAAUUUCUUGAUGCCCAAAUGAACCCUAUACAUGCCUUCAUACACAUAUCCCAUCGAAGGCCUCUCAUCACAAUCAACAAUACGCAAUAAGCACAUUAGUGGAGACAUAAGAUUCACAAUAAUCAAACAAUCAUUCCAAAAUCUAUU